rnacentral:rRNA from 1 species
UACGGAGGAUCCAAGCGUUGUCCGGAUUUAUUGGGUUUAAAGGGUGCGUAGGCGGAUUUUUAAGUCAGUGGUGAAAGCUUCCCGCUCAACGGGAAAAUUGCCAUUGAAACUGAAAAUCUUGAAUACGGUCGAGGUAAAUGGAAUGUGUCAUGUAGCGGUGAAAUGCUUAGAUAUGAUACAGAACACCAAUUGCGAAGGCAGUUUACUAGACCGUCAUUGACGCUGAGGCACGAAAGCGUGGGGAGCGAACAGG